rnacentral:lncRNA from 1 species
GUCCUCUGUGAGGACUGAGACAUUCAAAUUUACAUAUCAGGGCCUGCACGGCUUCCCAGCCAGCCAAUCAUAUCUGAGGUCUGCCGUUUCUUCUCUCGUCAUAUCUCUGCGUCGGAUGUACAAAGAGCAAUGAAAAUCGCAGUCAAAGUACACCAAAGUCCGCUGAUUCACUCAGUACAAGAAUUAUGCUUCUAGUCCACCUAGCUUUUGAGUUACACGACGUUUUGUAACUCCAAAAAAUGGCAUUCUUCGCCUCUCACCGCGAUCUAAUUCUGACUGCUCAUCACCCUGUUUCCCAAGAGCUCACUGUCUUUCCCAGUGGCGCCAGCGCCGUAGCUCCGCAAACGCACAUAACGCACACUGCGUAGGGCACCAAAUGGCCGGUAGGGCACCAAAAAAAUCAGGGUCGUAAAAAAAAAAAAAAGUAAACCAUAUUAAUACUAUAAAUAUCAUAUGCAUUAAUAUGGUUAAACAAUACAAAAGCAACAUAAAACAAUUUUCCCGAGAAAAGGGGUGAAUCUGCUUUGUGCCCUGUCUCCAGUCUCCUCCUGGUGCCCCCCCCCCCCCACUCCCAGUGGUCUGUUCUAUAAUGCCUCAAUUCGGUAUUGGUAAACACCUGUUUGAACAUGGCCUCGAAACGGCAACAGGAGUCGGGAGCGGAGAAAAGAAAGAAGAAGAGGAAGCGUGAUGAAACUCAGGCGUCGCUUGCCGGGUCAAUGCUUAAAUAUGUUCAAGGAGGAUCUCAAGGACAGGAUGAACCAUCCAGUAGUAGUGCCAUCCCUGGACAUCAACCACCAGCCAUUGUAGACCCUGCAACAAUCCCUAGCCAAGAAGAACAAGAACCAUCAACCACCAGUUCAGGUACAGUUCCAUACACAAGUACCACUGAGAGUCCUGUCACUGAGAGACUAUCAGAAAGUGACACUGUGGAGACAUGUGUGCCCCCUUCAACCGAUCCUGCUCUUUGGCCAGCUCACAUUGUAGAUGCUGAUCGUGUUGAAAUUGUGCGGAGAGGUCCUUUUAAUGUCAGCUCUGAUUUUAAUUUUCCAAAGGGGCCUGAGUAUUUAUUUGUAACAGUAUUUUUAACCUCCUUUAACCUUAUUUAUUUGUUUAACUGUCAUGUUUGUUGUUAUUUAAUUAAACAAAUUCCACUGGGAAAUUCAAAAGUAUUAAUGUUUUUUGUUUUUUUUUAAGUGGCGGGGGGGGGGCACCAUAAAGCAUUUGUGCUUAGGGCACCCAAAUGGCUAGCAACGGCCCUGUUUUAGUGAAAUAUCUGUUAGAAUCUCCCACAGAUAAUGAGCAGAUCUUAUUGUCUGGCUUGAGUAACAGUACAAAAUCCUCACACCCAGUUAUGUUGUGUAUUGGGGACACUGAGGCUCAGCAUAAGAGAAAGACGUAAUAUUUUGUGUGUAUCAUGCAAAGAGUCCAAGAAUAACAAACUGUAACUGUGAUUAAUAAAUAAUAUUUAUAUUCAGAGGUACAUAUAUGUAGGUAUCAUGUUUGAGGGAACUUAGACAGUUUCCUUCAGUUAUUAUUUUAUUAGGACUUCAUGAGGGGGUCAAAGGUCACAGGUCAGUCAUGUGACAUGAUGUCAGACUUUUCCUGUCUGCAGCUUCUGAUCCAAUAACUUUGACCCCUCUGGGACAUAAAUGUAGUUUUUCUGUGCAGAACAGAAAUGAUUGAUGUUUGCUGAUAGUGUGCAGCUCGUCUCCUCCAUCGUCUCCACUCAGACACGUCUGCAUGUAGAACUGUGACACAUUUCAACUACAUUUAGUCUGGAUCACAGUAAACUGUAGGAUUACACUUCAGCAUGUGAUUCAGUCACACUGCAUGUUAAUGAACAUGUUGCUGACUGAGGUCUGAUGAUGAUAUCAGAGUUGGUCUGAAGCUCACUGAGCUGCUUCACACUUGUAGAACAAACCACUGAGUUCAUCCUUCAUCACUGACAGUCUGUGUUACGUCUGUUUACAGGACGCAGACGUGGAGCCAACAGCAACCAAGGUAACAUCUUUAUUUUUCUCUUAUGAAGUUUGAUGUCUGCACACGUGUGUGUCUGUGUGUGUGUGUGUGUCUGUGUGUGUGUGUGUGUCUGUGUGUGUGCAGGCGACAGCAGUGUUAUGUUUGUUACUCUGCAACAAUUCAUAUAGAAAAGCUUGUACAAGAUGAGCUGUGACAUUUUGUGUGUACGUGUCUGUUUAGGCAGCAGCAACCCAGCAGGCACGCCUCUUAUGACAGGUAAAUGUUUCUUUCUGCAGAGAUUUUACAUACAUAAACCUGUGUAGCAGAUGGGUUUUAAUAGUUUGUGUGUGUGUGUGUGUGUGUGUGUGUAGGCAAUGACAGCAGCAAUGGAAGCGAUCGUAAGUUUGUUACUCUGCAAAGAUUUAUGUAGAAAGGAUUGUAGAACAUGACCUUUGACAUUUUGUGUGUGUGUGUGUGUUUCUAUGUGUGUGUAGCAUCAAACAUUUCGACCAUCAGCCAAACUGGCAAUGGAAUCACAGCUCAGAAUGGUGAGUUUUCCUCUGAAACAAUUUACCAUGAAGCUGCUUUACAUCAGAGAGUUUUGUCUUUGGUGAUGCAUUAAUAUGAAGGUCACUUUAAUUAAGCAGCAAAGUCCAUAAAUAACUCUGACCCUACAGUACCAAAGUUUGUGAUUUGCCUUUUCAAAAUAAUUCUCAAAUGCUGAAAUUCUCAAAGGCCACACAUCAAAACCUACAUCUACAUUUUUCCAAGGCUAAUAAGUUGGUCUUAAACAUAAAUUAACCUUUGACCUCAUUUAAGCUGGUUUAAUUUCUCAUUAACACAUAAUCUUGAUUUAUUUCCUUAUUUAAUCUCUAUUUAACCUGUUUUUAAUCUGACCCUUAACCUAUUAACUUAACCGUCACUUAUCAUAUAUUAUCUUAACCUUACUGUUCAUUUUAUUACAAACCUGUAAUUACCUUAACCUUGUAAUUAAAUCUUUGUAUUUAAAAAAAAAAACCUUGUAAACUUGUAAAUAUGAUCUUUGAUAUAUUUAUUUCCUUGUAAUCUUUGAUCUUCCUUGACCAAAUUUAACCUUUCCUUUAUUUUAUUUAACCUUAAUCCCUUAAUUUAAACUUUAAACAUAAGUCUUAAAUUAAACCUUAAUUAAUUUAUUUUACUAUUUCCUUUUAUUAACAACUUGAAAUUCCAACUUUUAUGCAUUGAGCAUGUAUAAUAUCAUAUCAGCACUCUAUCAGUUUGACUGAGAGAACUUCAAUCGCUCACAUUUUAAUUCGGUCCAUUUGCGCAGAUAUCGGUAUGACACAGGCUCUGCUUACCUUUAUUUUGAGGCCUUCUGUGACCGUGAAGCCGUUGUCUCCAGUCUGGUGACUGACAGCAACUCCAUCAGGAGGCUUUGAGUUUCUCCUUUCUUCCAAUUGAAAAAAGUCACGUGGGGUCACCAGUUUGUUGUGUUCACUUUCUUUAGAAGGAAGUACAGGAGAAA